AUGGCCCCUGUCUCCGCCGUUGGCAUCAAGCGCUCUGCACCAAGCGACCACGAUGAGCAGCGUGGCAUCUGGUGCAAGGGGGCUUCAUCGCACCAGGCACACCAGAGUACUUUCAAGGGCAAGCAAGUUGCUGACCCUGAAGACCACGGUGGCGACAAAGCUAAUUACCGGAAGCGGCGCCGAUGUCUUGCCAUCAACAUCAAUGAGGUACCCCACAACGAAGACGAUGACCUCGACAACCCUCUUCAUGUCGGGGCCCCCGCUGCAGGUGGUAGGUGCUCCCAGCCGCCACACUGGCUGCUCUCACUCGUGAACAAGAAGCAAGCGCAGGAGAAUGAGAUAAUAGAGCUUGCAGAGCAGCGCUUGCGCUGGGCCACAGAGGACCUGAUGGAGGAAAUGGAGCUGAAGAAGAUGCGGUUGGAGAAUGAGAAGAUGCGUCUUGAGAACUACCGACUCCUGGUGCAGGUCAAGCACAAGGAGUUGGAGCUCAACCUUGCCAGGUCGAAAAGGAUCUAG
rnacentral:rRNA from 1 species